rnacentral:lncRNA from 1 species
AUGAGAGAACGUUUUUGGUGUCCCCAGGUGUCCCCAGGUGUGUCCCAGGUGUCCCCAGGUGUGUCCAGGUGUCCCCAGGUGUGUCCCAGGUGUCCCCAGGUGUGUCCAGAUGCGUCCCAGGUGUCCCCAGGUGUGUUCCAGGUGUCCCCAGGUGUCCCCAGGUGUGUCCCAGGUGUCCCCAGGUGUCCCCAGGUGUGUCCAGGUGUCCCCAGGUGUGUUCCAGGUGUCCCCAGGUGUCCCCAGGUGUGUUC